GCUGCAGCUUUGGUCGGACGGGUGGGGCGGCUCCGGGUACGGGCUGACAUGGGAUGGCGGGGUUGGAGGGGACCCCGCAGCCCCGCCCGCAGUCUGGGUGCCCCCAGCUCGGGGUCCCGGCGCCCACCCGCCUGCCCUCGUUGGCCGCCCCCCCCGCCGUGUCACUGUUGACCCCGGCUCAGCCCCUCCUUUCCUCCGCGAUUUCUGCUGCCGUUCCUCGCUCGCUCCCCUCGUCCGUGCGCUGCUCCCCCCGGGCGCUCAGCCCUGCUAAUGUGCGAGCUCAUUGCCUUCCCGACCUGCGUUUCGCUCAGCGCUCUGCUCCCUGCCCGUCCUGUUCCACGCGUGUCCCGGGCUGGUGGUGUCCCGGACCCCACGGCCAGCUGCUUCCCUGUGCCACGUGUGUGAUGCUCCUCCAGCCCCGUGGGUGAGCAGGACUGCAGAGGGGCAACCGCUGGGAUUUCCUGCCCCGUUGCCCUUUCGGCCCUACGCUGCGCAAUGCAGGGCCGUGCUUUGGUGCUGCUGGCCCUUGGGGACAUCCCACGUGGACUCAGACCCCACGCUGAGCCCUGAUGGGGGCACAGGUGAUGUCCUCAGCCACGUCGCUGUGAGGGCUGGGCCUUAAGGUCAGAGCACCAUGGUGCCCCUUUCCCCACAUCACAACAGAAUUGAUUCUCGUGGUCUCUUGUCAGGUUUUGGGUGAGAUUUCGGGGGCUCCUGCCUGCCCAGGAGGGGAGUCAGCUCUUGGAAAGGGGAGAUGACAGCAGGACAAGGGGAAAUGGUUUGGAGUUGAGGGAGGGCAGAUAGAGGUUGGAUGUCAGGGGGAAGUUGUUUAGAGAGAGAGUGGUGAGGUGCUGGAACAGCUGCCCAGAGAGGCUGUGAUGCCCCGUCCAUCCCUGGAGGUGUUGGAGGCCAGGUUGGAUGGGGCCCUGGGCAGCCUGGGCUGCUGUGAAAUGGGGAGGUUGGUGGCCCUGCCUGCAGUGGGGGCAUUGGAUUGUUAUCAUCCUUGAGGUCCCUUCCAACCCAAACCAUUCUGUGAUUCCUCCAUGGAAAUCUGUGGUGUCUGGACGUGUUCCCAAUAGCGGGCAAAGCUCCAGUCCUUUGCUGGGGAGGGAGGAGGAGGCAGAGGAUUGUGGAACACAGCCUCAGUUCCGUCCCUGGAAGGAGUGUGCCGUGUGUCCUCCUGUGCUCCCUGUCCCCAAACAAAGCUGGCAGGGGGAGGCAUUCGGGGACAAUCAGUAUAGAUUAUACUGACAGCAAAUUGUGCUUGGCCGAGCACAAAGUUAAGGCUUUAAGUGCUUCAAAGCAGUGGUCCAUUAAAUAUUUUGCCUGUUAUCUCCCUGACAUCCCUCCUAUUAACAUCUCGUUAGGUCUUUCAUAGAAUAGGAUCGCUAGGUUGGAAAGGACUGACAAGACUGUCUAGUCCAAAGUCCUUUCAACUGUUGUUAACAACCCUGACAGGUGAGCAGUGUUUGGGAAGCAGUGUUUGCAUGUUCUGGACCCCAGUGCUGGGGGUAUUGUGUGGGCCAGAGGGGUGAGCACUGCCCAGACCCUGCCCUGCCUGCCCUCCCUGGGGCACCAAGACUGCUCUGUGUUCUGCAGCAUCAUCAGGAAGGCUCAGAGAACGUUAUACCAGAGCAAGGAUGUUCUCAGAUGUAGGGUUUGGAUUUGGGGUGGUUCUGUGUGGAGCCUGGGGUUGGACUCGAUGGUCUUUGUGGUUCCCUUCCAACUCAGGAUGUUCUGUGGUUCUGUGGUUCAGCGAUUCGUUGCCAGCCAGAAAACACCUGAGCAGAACGUUUGCAGAUGUGGAAGCUCAGGGUGCACCAGCGAGGACUGGGGAUGUCACCUGAGAAAGGAGAGCAGUGAGAACUCCCAAAACCUCCUGUGCUGCUGCCUGUGGACCUUCUGCAGAACCCACACCUUCCUCCUGUGUUGGAGCACUGAUUGAAAUCAAUGGCAGUUUUCUGUUUGCUUCAAUGUGGUACACGGGCCUCAGAUGGACUCGGACUCCUUUCUCGAGACACUGAUGUGUGAGAUUUGGAAACCCAGCAGAUCUAGGGGUUGAUUUGCAGCGGCACUUCGUCCACACUGCGCUCGGUCCUGCAGGAGGAGGCACAGUGCAUCCUCAGCACAACGGUGCAGUUAAGUAGGGCAACGGCGACAGACAAUCAGCAGGACGGCUUGGUGGAUUAUUUACACACAGCUCAGCCCAGCUGUGGCUGCAGGCUCUGUGCUUGUUCAAGGACACGGGCUGGAAGCUCCCUGCAGCCCAACGUGCUGGGAUGUGAUGCUGAGCUGUGCCCCGGGGAAGGCAGCACAGGGGCCGCUUCACAUGGCGACCUCUGGGCAUCACAUCUGGGUGAUCAGUUACUGGGCAUGGUGAUCAGUUACUGGGCAUGGUGAUCAAUUACUGGGCAUGGUGAUCAGUUACUGGGCAUGGUGAUCAAUUACUGGGCAUGGUGAUCAAUGUCUGGGCAUGGUGAUCAGUUACUGAACAUGGUGAUCAAUGGGUGUGGUGACCACUUCACAUGGCUUACAAGCCACUUCCCGGCUUGCAGUGUCCCUGGCUUUGAAGGAAAGCCAACAUAGAAUCAGAGAACUGUUCAGGUUGGAAAAGACCCCCGAGUCCAGCCCCAACUCGCCCCACCACACCUGCUGACCGCGUCCCUUGGUGCCACGUCCUCACUGCCAUUGAACACCUCCAUGGACGGGGACUCCGCCACCUCCCUGAGCUGCUGUCAACACCAGCCUGCAGCAAUGGAGAUGAAGCUGCUGAGCAGGGCCUUCCCUGCAGUCCAGACGCUGGGGUCCCCAUGCAGGCUCUGCUCCCACCCCUAGCGUUAUGCACUCAGCUCUCACUGUGGCUCUCAAACUCCAUCGCCCUGCUGGGUGAGCUCUCGUGCCCCCGGGACAAAACCUGACCAGAUUCCCAUCGAUGGGAAUCUCCCAUCCCUGGAGACUUUCAAGGCGAGGCUGGACCAGGACCUGGUGGAGCUGCGGUGUCCCUGUGAAUUGCAGGGGAGUUGGGCUGGAUGGCCUUCAGAGGUCCCUCCCAACACUGAGGGUUCUGUGAUUGCACGAUGGGCUGCAGGCAAAGCUGCAGUGCCCUCCACCAGAGGACGGAGCCGUGCUGCAGCUCCAAGAUUGUGAUCUGAUGUAUGAGGAAUGUUAGCGUCAGCAUGAGCGCGGAGAAACGUUAUCAGGGAGCUUAGGAAAUUAGGGACGGUCUGGAGAUCGUCAGAGGGAGGGAUUUCAUCUCCCUGGAAAUUUCUUGAAGGUCUUAAAAAAGCAGCGCUGCCGCU